CUACGGGGCGCUCCAGUUAGGAAUCAUCUGCAAUGCGCGCAAGCGUGACAGUUUGAGCCAGAGUGUUUCUCAUUGAGAAACUUUUGCCAAAUGUAAGAAGUUUGGCGAAUAAGGACUGGGUAAGACGGGUGCCAGCCGCCGCGGUAAUACCCGCGGUCCAAGUCGCAGCCACAAUUAUUGGGUCUAAAACAUCCGUAGCUUGCUUGGUAAGUUUCCUGUGAAAUCCGGCAUCUCAAGUGUCGGGCGUGCAGGAAAUACUGCCUUGCUAGAGACUGGAAGACGCAAGAAGUACAUUCAAAGUAGCGGUAAAAUGUGUUAAUCUUGGAUGGACUCACAACAGCGAAGGCAUCUUGCGAGGACAGUUCUGACAGUAAGGGAUGAAGGCUAGGGGCGCAAAGUGGAUUAGAUACCCGUGUAGUC
rnacentral:rRNA from 1 species